UUGAGGCUAUGGCCGCUCAG
rnacentral:misc_RNA from 1 species